GACGAACGCUGGCGGCGUGCUUAACACAUGCAAGUCGAACGGAAAGGCCCUGCUUUUGUGGGGUGCUCGAGUGGCGAACGGGUGAGUAACACGUGAGUAACCUGCCCUUGACUUUGGGAUAACUUCAGGAAACUCGGGCUAAUACCCGAUAGGAGCUCCUGCUGCAUGGUGGGGGUUGGAAAGUUUCGGCGGUUGGGGAUGGACUCGCGGCUUAUCAGCUUGUUGGUGGGGUAGUGGCUUACCAAGGCUUUGACGGGUAGCCGGCCUGAGAGGGUGACCGGCCACAUUGGGACUGAGAUACGGCCCAGACUCCUACGGGAGGCAGCAGUGGGGAAUAUUGCACAAUGGGCGGAAGCCUGAUGCAGCAACGCCGCGUGCGGGAUGACGGCCUUCGGGUUGUAAACCGCUUUCGCCGGUGACGAAGCGUGAGUGACGGUAAUGGGUAAAGAAGCACCGGCUAACUACGUG
rnacentral:rRNA from 1 species